rnacentral:tmRNA from 2 species
GGGGGUGACUGGUUUCGACAGGGUGGGUCUGAGAUGGGCAGCAGGCCGUGGUCUCCUCGCCACGUUAAACAGGGGUACCGUCAAAUUGAAUUGACGACAACAACUCUUUUGAGCCUCAGCUGGCUCUCGCCGCUUAAUUACUAGCAGGCGCGCCAAUCCGGGGGUCGCUCCCGUCCCCGGUGCGGUGUCAUCUUAGGGAGAUGCUCGGGCGGACGUAGCCGGUAUGCCGCCCGAAAAGACCGAACCGGCUGGGGCGCCAAGCGCGGGUAACCGGGCGCGCGGCGCCCGAGAUCCAACCGGUAACUGAGCCUGGAGACACCUGUCAGGGGUCUGCUUUGGACCGGAGUUCGACUCUCCGCACCUCCACCA